rnacentral:lncRNA from 1 species
UCAUAGUUGAUUUGUAAUGCACUUGGUCCUAUUUUCAUCUUUUCAUGUGAUCCAUGCAAAUGCAUUGAAAGUCUCCUUCUUUCCAUGUAACCAUGCGCUGGUUUGGGGUCACCAGGGCCAUUGUCAGGAAGGGUUUGAUUAGGUUUCACAAUCAAAGCACAGAUUCCAUCAAAUUUAAGUCCUUCCCGUUGCUCACGGCAUGCAUCAUACGGUAGUAGACAGAUCUUGGCAUCAUUUCCCUUUAUCACAAGUAAAACAGAAUUGUUGUCAUCACAAAUAAUUCGUUUUAAUAUUAAUUGGUGUGAUAUGCUGCCCUAUAAGGUGGCGAAAAGUGUUUAACAAAAGAUUGGCUGCAUUUAAGAAAAGAUUAGCCCACUAAAAAUCCAAUCCCAAUGACUUUUAUAACUUGCUUUCCCUUUAUUUAUAUACAGAAUAUAAGCAAUAACUGCUAUCAGAAAUAUCUUCACGAAAUCUGAAAGUCCUCCAGUGAUUUUCAAACUAGUGAUCUAUGCUAACUCUUUUCUUAUCCAUCCCCAUGUCUUAUCCUAUAUUUCCCUCAUUGGUCCACAAACAAAACAUGGAAAAUGAUGUUCCACACCCAAUCCUGAACAAACCCCAAAAAGAAAAUUGGAUUAUAAGUUGCAAAAUGGAAGAAGAUAGAAAGAGAAUACCUAAGAAUCGACCAAGACAGCGGGAAAACCUACCAGUCAUGCCCUGAAUUAUUGUUGGAUGGCCUUCGCGGUGGCAAAAAGACGCCUUCAGAAGAACAU